rnacentral:ncRNA from 1 species
AGGAUAGAGGCUGCAUUUUUCAUGAGUAGGGUGACGGAUGUGUCAGGAACAGAGGAAAUCAUCAGAAAGGGGAAGAUGCCGAAAGGACAAAACGCCUGACGUUUUAUCCUUGGGCAUGGCGUGAAGAACGACAUGACUGUCAUCGCAGGAUGGAGAGCUAUCCG